rnacentral:rRNA from 1 species
UAGGGAAUAUUGCACAAUGGGGGAAACCCUGAUGCAGCGACGCCGCGUGAGUGACGAAGGCCUUAGGGUUGUAAAGCUCUUUUGGCGGGGAAGAUAAUGACGGUACCCGCAGAAUAAGCUCCGGCUAACUUCGUGCCAGCAGCCGCGGUAAUACGAAGGGAGCUAGCGUUGUUCGGAAUCACUGGGCGUAAAGCGCACGUAGGUGGAUAGUUAAGUGAGGGGUGAAAGCCCGAGGCUCAACCUCGGAAUUGCCUCUCAUACUGGCUGUCUCGAGUCCGAGAGAGGUGGGUGGAAUUCCUAGUGUAGAGGUGAAAUUCGUAGAUAUUAGGAAGAACACCGGUGGCGAAGGCGGCCCACUGGCUCGGUACUGACACUGAGGUGCGAAAGCGUGGGGAGCAAACAGGAUUAGAUACCCACGUAGUCCCUGAGCGGGCUGGCAAGGCGCAU